GAUAUCAUGUAUCGAUGACCACUCAGCAAAGCUUUGGAUAGAGAGAAAACACCGAAACAAGGCAUUGACAAUUCCAAGUGGCAAGAAGGUCAGUAGCAGUGCCGUCUUAUAACCUACCAACGACAUCAUAAACGUGUAUCCAGUGGAUGCAACUACUCCAUGUUGAGUAUGCCGACCAAUAAAUACUGACAAAACCCUGAAGAUAAAACAUGUCAAAAGCAUCACCAUGAACAUAGGUAACCAACCUAGUCAGUCUUUUCAUCCGAAACUGGAAACUCCAUAAAAACUCAUGUACUUGAAUUUAAAUAGUAUUCCAAACAUCUAAAGCUCAAUAACUGACGGAACCAAAAGUACAAAUAAACACAACAGUAUCCCUCUCCUCUAUUACUCAAUUCCCCAAAGCUGUAUACAAUAUAUGCUUUCCAAAGCAUGAACCCAAAUACAGCGGGAACUUUCAACUAGCGUCUACAAGAAAACAACAUGACAUGGAGAAGGGGUAGAUCAGUUCUACAAUUCCAUCAUACCAACAAAAAUUUGCCCAACCAAAAAUAAUAGCACAUAGCACGAUUUUCCUAAUAGACACUGUCUUAAUCUUCCUAUAUGGAUGUAUGAUUCCCCUUUAAAUUGAACACAUUUGCAAUAAACCAACUGAACAAAAAUCACAAUGCCAUAAUAUGAACAAACAACUUGAAUCUGCUAGAGUUCUUGCAAUUGCUGAUAACAUUUUUGCAAUGAGAUGACCAAUUGAAGAAAAAUCACAAUGCCAUGAUACUAACAAAUAAUAACAUGAAUCUGCUAGAGCUAUUGCAAUUGCUAAUAACAUGUUUGCAAUGAGAUGACCAAUUGAAGAAAAAUCACAAUGACAUGAUACUAACAAAUAAUAACAUGAAUCUGCUAGAGUUC
rnacentral:lncRNA from 1 species